GAUGAACGCUGGCGGCGUGCCUAAUACAUGCAGGUCGAGCGAACAGAUGAGGAGCUUGCUCCUCUGACGUUAGCGGCGGACGGGUGAGUAACACGUGGAUAACCUACCUAUAAGACUGGGAUAACUUCGGGAAACCGAAGCUAAUACCGGAUAAUAUAUUGAACCGCAUGGUUCAAUAGUGAAAGACGGUUUUGCUGUCACUUAUAGAUGGAUCCGCGCCGCAUUAGCUAGUUGGUAAGGUAACGGCUUACCAAGGCAACGAUGCGUAGCCGACCUGAGAGGGUGAUCGGCCACACUGGAACUGAGACACGGUCCAGACUCCUACGGGAGGCAGCAGUAGGGAAUCUUCCGCAAUGGGCGAAAGCCUGACGGAGCAACGCCGCGUGAGUGAUGAAGGUCUUCGGAUCGUAAAACUCUGUUAUUAGGGAAGAACAAAUGUGUAAGUAACUAUGCACGUCUUGACGGUACCUAAUCAGAAAGCCACGGCUAACUACGUG
rnacentral:rRNA from 1 species